rnacentral:lncRNA from 1 species
AUGUGGCAAAUAUUCUUAAGUGAUCUCAUUUCUCCCUUCUGCACCCGAAGGCCUCAGUCCUUCUCAACUAGCACUUCAGGUGGCCGUUACCAACGAAAUGGAUUUGUACAAAAGAUGAAAAUGAUCUUCUAUCCUCAUGAUGGAAUAUUUUCAUACACUAGAUGAUGAGAAAACAGAUCAAAAGAAGGGGAUUUGGGCUUUGUAUCAUCAGAUUGGAAACUCUGUGAGGACAGGAACUUUGUUGACUAUUUUAUCCUCUGCACUUUGCCUGGCCCAGAGAAGUUGACCGAACUUGUCUGACGCAACAAAGUGGGUAAAGAGAAGGACAAGGAUGGAGUCAUCAAAGGAUAAACUUGAUAAGGGCAGAGCCCACAGUUCCACAUGUGAAAUCCAUGACCUGAUUGUCAAUGGGGAGAGUCUCCCCUGUGUCUGCUGGACUCCCUGAGCAUGGCG